ensembl:lncRNA
UCUUGGUUCACUUUGGCUUGUGGCUGUAGGUCCUGUUGGGCUACUAGAGCUGAAGUGCAAGAUAGGACAGCAGCUAGCUGAUAGCAUUAUCUGCUGGACUAUGGUACUCAUCUGGCCUAUUAGCACUGAAUCAUCUUUGUGGUUAGGAGUGGAGGUGCUAGGUGAGGUGAGCCUAGGUGAGUUGACUACAUGAUGACCAUGAGAAGCUGCAUUGUCCCCACUGACUAAAGGAACUUCCCCUGCAAUUUCACUAACAUUGACAUCACCACACACACACACACACACACACACACACACACACACACAAGGACUACCAGUUGGGGAAGGAAUAGGUGACCUCAACACACCUCUUCCCCUACCAACAUUGACAGGUGUAAGCAGAUCUGAACAACCAAUACGGUUUAAACUCAUUGUAGUAGCUCAAAAUGAAAGAAAAAAAAACGUAACAAAUGACAGAUGUGUCUGUGUUUCCUCUCGCUGCCUGUAGACUGAGAAGAUAGGACGGCUCCCAGUUCGAUGAGGAACACCAAUCUUGAUUGUUGAUCCGGGUCACAGCACCAAUGUGACCUUCCUGGUCCCGUCCGUGAGUCAACACAGGAAGGAGUAAUGGAUGGAUAGUUAUUUUAUUUCCAAAACUACAAUCAUGGGACACACACAGUAUGGAUGAAUGAUGAGUAGUAGCCGGGAUAUAAACAGCAAUCCCACAGCAAUUCUCCAUGUAUCUGCUGUAUAAUAUACUGACAAAAGAACAAUUGAAAUGUCUUUCAAAGUCAUAGUGCAUUUAACAAUAAUUAAAAAUAUAUAUUGUUUCCAUGUGUAAUCUCAUAUUCACAACAUCAGAAUAAACUAUCAUCCUUUUUAGUAUCAAAAUAAAUCAAAUUAAUCUAAAAUUACUCUGUCACACUCUUGUGGCAAAGAAAUAUAAUACACCUAGAAUGUACCACAUAUUUUCCUCAGCUAACAAAACCAGGCUAAUACGCUGGUUGGUGCUCAUGAGUUUAUAAAACAUAUAUUUUAUAUAUUUGUCAUAAAUUACCUGCAAUGAUGGGACACACACAGUAUGGAUGAAUGAUCAGUAGUCGACAGGAUACAAAUGGCACUCCUAAAGAAGAUGCAUUCGUUAGCUAGCAUAAAACUCACAUGGCAAGUAACAUAUGGAGUGGCUUAUUUGACGCUAAACCAACAACAUUAAUUACUAAACAUAAAUUGCUAAUGUACGAGGUAAAAUGUGGGUUUUAUGAUUUAAUGUCAACUUUAUACAUUUCUGUCCCUAGACCAUUCAAUUUUCAACUCACCCACAGCAAUUCUCCAUAAUUCUGCUGUGGAUUACCCAGAAUCGCAUACCUUUAUCACUGAGUGUGUUAGACAAUGUAAACACAGUAAUCCACCGGGAGGUGGCAUAAUGUUCAUUUUAUGUUGGAAUUUAACAAUUUAAUCAUACUGUUACAAGAGCAACUGUUGACAAUUUGCAGAGCCUCGCUGUACAGUGGAAAAACUGGAAAGGUUCAGGAUUGGAAGAAUACAUGAUCAGGACAGUGGAGGAUGACCUGGUGGAAAUGAAGAAUAAAUGCUGCUCAUGCUGCAAAGAAUUUCCACUGUGUUAGCAGAUGCUGAGACGGUACAACCUGCUGACUGAUGCAUACCAUAUACUUGGCCUUGGAUACCAGUUCCUACUCACCCUCUCAGUUACCCAGGUAGUUCCUACUCACCCUCUCAGUUACCCAGGUAGUUCCUACUCACCCUCUGUUACCCAGGUAGCUUGUGAGUGAAGUUUCUCUACCUUAAAGUAUAUCAAGAGCACUCUCUCACAAGAACACCUAGAGGCCUUCAUGCUGAUGGCCACCGGGAAGGACAUCCUAAUGGCCCUGGAUACUGACAUGGUGAUCCAUAGAGUUGCAGAGAAAAGCCAGCUGUUGUGACAUAUUUUCUAUAACUUGCUUACUUACCAUUAUUUAAGUCCUACAUUUCUAAUGUCUCUUCUUCCUGUCUGUGAUUUUGCUGUCCAAUACUUUGACAGAGUAAAGCCAGCCAGCUGACCUUGAGCAGCAGUUAGACAGUUCUAUGUUUCAGUUACGUUCUAUGUUUGGAGAGGUGUUCAACCAUUGUUUUUUAGAAGGUGUACUCCCAUGACUUAAAGCCAGCCAGCUGACCCUGAGCAGCAGUUAGACAGUUCUAUGUCUCAGUGAGUAUUGUGGAUAUUUUAGCAUCUCUUUUUCACUCAAGGCUUCAUGUGAUGUGAGGUAGUUCAAUCAUGACAAAUUCAGUGUGUUUUCUGUAGAGGUUUUAUAACAAUGUGCAGCAUUUGUGUGUGUGCGUUCCGCAGCCUUUUUAAAGUAGUACUGCAAUGGUGAUCAAUGGUUGUGAUGCAGCUAGGUGGUUGUAUUAGGGACUGGUCGUGUGUGCAUUAGCAAGGCGGUUGUGGGGGAGUAUACGGGGGCCAGUUCUGGUGUGCUGGUCUGGAUCAAAGUCCUGGGCCGUUUUUUACUCCCAGUCCAUCCCUGACUGUAUGUAAUGUAUUGUCAUAAAACAUUUAAUUAUAAUGAUAACAUUCACCUAGGAAUUCACUUGUUGAAGGCCACAGGUCUAAAAAUGAUCAAAUUCAACAACCAUCUCCAUGUUACUAACAAAUCUAGUCAUGGGUGGUAAUGCUACAAUUCACUCAAAGGCAAGGCACACAGGGAAAUUAUAUUCAAAUCAAAUUUAUUUAUAUAGCCCUUCGUACAUCAGCUGAUAUCUCAAAGUGCUGUACAGAAACCCAGCCUAAAACCCCAAACAGCAAGCAAUGCAGGUGUAGAAGCACGGUGGCUAGGAAAAACUCCCUAGAAAGGCCAAAACCUAGGAAGAAACCUAGAGAGGAACCAGGCUAUGUGGGGUGGGCAGUCCUCUUCUGGCUGUGCCGGGUGGAGAUUAUAACAGAACAUGGCCAAGAUGUUCAAAUGUUCAUAAAUGAUCAGCAUGGUCGUAUAAUAAUAAGGCAUAACAGUUGAAACUGGAGCAGCAGCACGGUCAGAUGGACUGGGGACAGCAAGGAGUCAUCAUGUCAGGUAGUCCUGGGGCAUGGUCCUAGGGCUCAGGUCCUCCGAGAGAGAGAAGGAGAGAAUUAGAGAACGCACACUUAGAUUCACACAUGUUGGGGCUUAUUUUUUAUACACCUCAAAUGUGAACUCCCUACAGGAUCACAGUGACUCUAUCGGUUUAAGUGAGGACUACAAAAUCACUUUAAGUAACUGUACUCAGAUAUACUAAGUGCAAUGGGUUUCCUCAAAAGUUUUGAGUAAUGACAGGGUUUACAGUGUAUGAUCAAUAUAUUAUGCAAGUUUGAUUUACAUUUUAAUAAUUCUACUUUUUCUGUAUUUAAACUUUUAUUUUGUUGUGAAAUUAAUCUUGCUGCUCUGUGUGCCACUGACUUCUUUACUUUUUGGCCUUGUUUUGCAUAUUUUUUAACUUCCUAUAAUCCUUAUUAUACUGUAUUUAUUCCUAUAUAUAUUUAUUCCUCAUUUGUAAAUGUUGUUUAUGGACUCACGUUGUAAAAUAUCUGUUUAUUUUUCCCCCUUCUGGAACAAUAAAGACUUACUGAACUGAA